AUGAAACUGCUGAUAUUGAGAGUUAGUCAACCUUCUCUUGAAGAUGAAAGAAUCUUGGCAAGAUACUAUGUAAUGCAACUGAAGGGGGUCCAAAAUGGACACUUGCAUGUGUUUUUCCCAAGUGGUAGCCAUUCUGGGGCCGGCUACAUGGCUCUCUGGGGUGGCGAAGGCUGGCGCGGCGAGCAGCAACCGUGUAGGUGUUUCGGACACUGUUCGGGACUGGAGGCGGGUAAGGCCGGCAAGGGCGGCCCGAUCCCGCAGGAGGCCAUCCAGCGGCUGCAGGACACGAAGGAGAUGUUAAGCAAGAAACAGGAGUUCCUGGAGAAGAAAAUCGAGCAGGAGCUGACUGCUGCCAAGAAGCAGGGCACCAAAAACAAGCGUGCGGCCCUCCAGGCACUGAAGCGUAAGAAGAGGUAUGAGAAGCAGCUGGCGCAGAUCGACGGCACAUUAUCAACCAUCGAGUUCCAGCGGCAGGCCCUGGAGAAUGCCAACACCAACAACGAGGUGCUCAAGAACAUGGGCUGUGCCGCCAAGGCCAUGAAGGCGGCACAUGACAACAUGGACAUCGAUAAAGUUGAUGAGUUAACGCAGGACAUUGCUGACCAGCAAGAAUUUGCGGAGGAGAUUUCAACAGCAAUUUCGAAACCUGUAGGGUUUGGAGAGAAGUUUGACGAGGAUGAGCUCAUGGUGGAAUUAAGAACUAGAACAGGAGGAACUAGACAAAAAUUUGCUGGAAAUCAGUGGACCCGAAACAGUCCCUCUACCAAGUGUUCCCUCUAUAGCCCUACCAUCAAAACCCGCCAAGAAGAAAGAAGAGGAAGACGACGACAUGAAGGAUUUGGAGAAGUGGGCUGGGUCCAGCGCGGGCUGGGCCAGGUUUCUGAUGGCCUGCGCAGCGAGCAGGCGUGUGCAUGUGCGCGGCAGGCAGGAUGGAUGUGGUGCAGGCAAGUUCCAUCGCUCUCGACUCUCACUCCAAAGCACUGGGAUCGCAUUGCUGCUCGCUCUCUGCAUAGCAUGAUCUGCACCUGGUGGGACGGGCGG